rnacentral:rRNA from 1 species
AUUGAACGCUGGCGGAAUGCUUUACACAUGCAAGUCGAACGGCAGCACGGACUUCGGUCUGGUGGCGAGUGGCGAACGGGUGAGUAAUGUAUCGGAACGUGCCCAGUCGUGGGGGAUAACGUAGUGAAAAUUAUGCUAAUAACGCAUACGAUCUAUGGAUGAAAGCGGGGGAUCGCAAGACCUCGCGCGAUUGGAGCGGCUGAUAUCAGAUUAGGUAGUUGGUGGGGUAAAGGCCCACCAAGCCAACGAUCUGUAGCUGGUCUGAGAGGACGACCAGCCACACUGGAACUGAGACACGGUCCAGACUCCUACGGGAGGCGGCAGUGGGGAAUUUUGGACAAUGGGCGAAAGCCUGAUCCAGCCAUUCCGCGUGCAGGAUGAAGGCCCUCGGGUUGUAAACUGCUUUUGUACAGAACGAAAAGGUUUCUACUAAUACUAGGAGCUCAUGACGGUACUGUAAGAAUAAGCACCGGCUAACUACGUGCCAGCAGCCGCCGUAA